rnacentral:misc_RNA from 1 species
GAUGAAGAACGCAGCGAAAUGCGAUACGUAAUGUGAAUUGCAGAAUUCAGUGAAUCAUCGAAUCUUUGAACGCAUAUUGCGCUCUCUGGUAUUCCGGAGAGCAUGCUUGUUUGAGUAUCAGUAAACACCUCAACUCUUUUUUCUUUUUUGAAAUUGGAGCUGGACUUGAGUGAUCCCAACGCUUUCUUCCAAGAAAGUGGCGGGUUGCUUGAAAUGCAGGUGCAGCUGAACUUUUCUCUGAGCUAUAAGCAUAUCUAUUUAGUCUGCCUAAAAAACAGAUUAUUACCUUUGCUGCAGCUAACAUAAAGGAGACUAGUUCUUGUGCUGACUGAUGCAGGAUUCACAGAGACAGCUUCGGCUGACUUUGUAAACUCGAUCUCAAAUCAAGUAAGACUACCCGCUGAACUUAAGCAUAUCAUAAGCGGAGGA